rnacentral:rRNA from 1 species
CGUAGGGGGCAAGCGUUGUCCGGAUUUAUUGGGCGUAAAGAGCGUGUAGGCGGCCGCACAGGUCCGUUGUGAAAACUGGAGGCUUAACCUCCAGACGUCGAUGGAAACCGUGCGGCUAGAGUCCGGAAGAGGAGAAUGGAAUUCCUGGUGUAGCGGUGAAAUGCGCAGAUAUCAGGAAGAACACCCGUGGCUAAGGCGGUUCUCUAGUACGGUACUGACGCUGAGACGCGAAAGCGUGGGGAGCGAACAGG